CCUUUCUCCUCUAAUUACUGGCAACGUGCAUCAACCAGGCCGGAGAUUCUCUUCGCGCAAUCAAUAAUAUGUUGUGAGGCACACGACCAACGCUCACCAGUGAGGGACACUCUCAUGAGAAGCACGACUAGACUUGCUCCAAAAAGUCGAAGGUUCCAAGUCGAGAGCUCUCGUCCAACAGUGACAAGCUAUGCGAUUUGGCUAGGUGCACGAAUUCCAACUAGCGACAAGGCAUUCUUUCUGGUGACACACUCGACCGGCUCCUCCUUUUGCGAUCAGCUUCCCCACCUGCGAUCAACACAGGAUUCUUCACAGAGAAGCUUUUGUACAAACUCGCUGUUCUAAAGCUUAAUGGAGGAAUGGGAAGACAAUGGGCUGCACUGGACCCAAGUUUGUUUUUGAAGUUCGUAAUGGAUUGACAUUCCUUAAUCUUAUUGUCAUCCAAAUUGAGAGCCAAUAUCCUCAUCUGGUUGUUGAGGAUUUUACUCCAUUGCCAAGCAAAAGGCAGACCGGUAAG